UUGUCCUUUGGACUUGUCGAGUCUAGCUUUUAGCCUUAAAGGAUAGUCUGAUUUGUCACCUCCGUCUCUCCGUUGGUCUAGGGAUGGGCGACCGAGGUGAAGCGAUGGUCGAUGCCGAGCUCAGAGUAGAAUUUUCUGAAGCGGGCGUUAUCAAACUGUCGUCCAUUGUCGGAUAUGAGGACGCGGGGGAGCCCAAACCUGCAGAUUAUCGAUUUCUAGACAAAGUCUCGCAUCUUUGGUUCGGUGAUUUGGACCACUGGUUGUUAGAAGUAUGCCCUAGAAGCCAACGUGGCUGACGCAUAUUUGUAAUCUGGGGCAUAAAUUUGUAAUUUGACACUUAUUAAUAAAUAAAAUUGGGCAAUUUAUUUUUCAUUCAUAUUUGUAUGUGUCCAUGAAUCGUCCAAGAAAUUAAUAAAUGAUGACAUAUAAUUUUAAGGAGUUGAGACUUUGAUGCAUGUGUCAUUAGGAAUUAAUUUCUAAAUGCUCCUGAUCGAUGAAUCCAUCACGAGGGACGGUGAUCGAUCCGCUGAGAUUAGUGCACAGAUCACUUAGUCAGAUGGACGAGUCUUGAGUCCACGGUGUAGAGACACUGGAGUGAUUAUGCAAGUACUCGUUAGAGAACAAGGUACUGAGCGUGACCAAAGAUAGUAAUCACAUGGAUGUCUAUCCACUCGUCAGUGACUACUUAUGCUGCAGUUGUAUGACUGGUCCUUUAGACUUGUGAUGCCUCAGCUAUUCACUGUGAGGUUGCUGUAAUUUGACAAGCAUGUGAACUUGAGCCCUAGUCAUUCGGGUCUUUGUAGUGCGAAUUGGCUGCAGUAGGUUCAUUUUAGAAUAGGGUUGCAUCUAGAUGGGAUCUAUCGACCUUGAUAGAUUAGGAGUGAUCCUAUGUGAUUUAUGAGACUGAGUUCGAUAAAUUUCUGGCCAAGUAUUUUGGAAAAGAAGUUUUCCAUAUCUCGAACUGGAAGUCGUAUAAAUUUGAUAUAUGACAGACGAUGGAGUUUGACGAGAUAUCCAUAACCUCCGUCACGUCGGGAUCCAUAAUAGAGGGACUGUAUCAUACGUUAACUGCACCAAGAGGUUCAGAUAUUCCAUUCUGUUGGGUUGCCACCACAUACUGCUAGGUGUCACUAGUGGAUUGUGAGACUCGAAGGCAUUCACUUGGUGAUCAGUGAAUCCUAAGAGUAGAACUGAAAUCAUUUCAGUCCACUGAAAGAAGUUUCAGUGAUAUUGAGAUGGAGAUCUCAAUAUUUCUCACUACCAGUCAGAAUAGAACCUACGAGGUCACGCACAUAGAGGAUUUAAUUAGUCAGACUAUCAUAAUUAUGAUUUGGAAUCAUAAUAGACAUCAAUCAUCAAUAUGAUUGGUGAUUGAAUUAACCCACUAAGUGUUAGUGAGUUAAUGGAAGAAAAAUUAAGUGAAAUUGAUUGCAAUUGGAUUGCAAUUGGGCUGAUUUAAUGAGCCAAAUCAAAUUGGGUUCGACCCAAAUUGAUUUGGGUUCAUGAUUGGGUCAAUUUGAUU
rnacentral:lncRNA from 1 species